GAUGAACGCUGGCGGCGUGCCUAAUACAUGCAAGUCGAGCGAACGGACGAGAAGCGUGCUUCUCUGAUGUUAGCGGCGGACGGGUGAGUAACACGUGGAUAACCUACCUAUAAGACUGGGAUAACUUCGGGAAACCGGAGCUAAUACCGGAUAAUAUUUUGAACCGCAUGGUUCAAAAGUGAAAGACGGUCUUGCUGUCACUUAUAGAUGGAUCCGCGCUGCAUUAGCUAGUUGGUAAGGUAACGGCUUACCAAGGCAACGAUGCAUAGCCGACCUGAGAGGGUGAUCGGCCACACUGGAACUGAGACACGGUCCAGACUCCUACGGGAGGCAGCAGUAGGGAAUCUUCCGCAAUGGGCGAAAGCCUGACGGAGCAACGCCGCGUGAGUGAUGAAGGUCUUCGGAUCGUAAAACUCUGUUAUUAGGGAAGAACAUAUGUGUAAGUAACUGUGCACAUCUUGACGGUACCUAAUCAGAAAGCCACGGCUAACUACGUG
rnacentral:rRNA from 1 species